rnacentral:rRNA from 1 species
GACGAACGCUGGCGGCGUGCUUAACACAUGCAAGUCGAACGGAAAGGCCCUGCUUUUGUGGGGUGCUCGAGUGGCGAACGGGUGAGUAACACGUGAGUAACCUGCCCUUGACUUUGGGAUAACUUCAGGAAACUGGGGCUAAUACCGGAUAGGAGCUCCUGCUGCAUGGUGGGGGUUGGAAAGUUUCGGCGGUUGGGGAUGGACUCGCGGCUUAUCAGCUUGUUGGUGGGGUAGUGGCUUACCAAGGCUUUGACGGGUAGCCGACCUGAGAGGGUGACCGGCCACAUUGGGACUGAGAUACGGCCCAGACUCCUACGGGGGGCAGCAGUGGGGAAUAUUGCACAAUGGGCGGAAGCCUGAUGCAGCAACGCCGCGUGCGGGAUGACGGCCUUCGGGUUGUAAACCGCUUUCGCCUGUGACGAAGCGUGAGUGACGGUAAUGGGUAAAGAAGCACCGGCUAACUACGUG